UACUCCUCACUGAACUAGUAAGGGGUUUGUCACAGUCUCCAUGUGUGUCUUGGAACUCUUACAUGCAAUGGCUAUCUGGGUCUGGGAGUAUCUUUCGUUUCUUGCAUCAAAGUACUCUUGCCUCGGCCUCCUGAGUGUGUCAUUACGAGCAUACGCCAUCAUGGGUGGGUCGCAUGAUUGGUUUUAAAAGGCAAAAAGAUCUCUGAGGUCCCUCAAAUUUUUCUCCAUUGCUGGCAGCCUCUGAGGGAGCUGCACCUUUAAGCACACCAGCUGGCCCAGGCUGAGCAGCCCUGAGCCUACUUUUGUGCCCUGUCCUUCCUGGAAUCACUGUGGCUCUGAGAACGUCAGAGGCUUCACCUUGAACCCUAGUGACGCAUUAGGCCUCACUUGUCAUGACCGUCACUCAGGGAAUUAUCAUUGUGUGUCAGACACCUCAGUCUGUCACAUACCAGGCAUUGUAGCUAGGAGCUCUGUGGAGAGAAAUCUAAGUGCUAGGAGUUUAACAAAGAUAAAGGUGAAAUGUGGGCUCCAAGGUCACGACCCCUCCAGUCAGGAGUAAGCAGGGGCAGGACCUUGACUGCUACUGUAGCUGCUGCCAUGAAUGAACACUGGCAUCCUUCACUCUGCUGCUACUCAUAGCAACUGGCAUUACCAUGACAACCAUUGGUCGUCUUUCAUGAGAGAUGAUCUCAAGGUUUCCGCCUCUGUGUAUUGUUAGCCUGGAACUACAUAGUAGUGCACAGUAUUCCAGUACUACACAGUGCUGCACAGUACUACACAAUACUCCAGUACUACACAAUACUACAGCAUUCCACAGUACUCCAGUACUAUAUAGUGCUGCACAGUACUACACAGCACGCCAGUACUACAUAGUACUACAGCAUUCCACAGUACUCCAGUACUACACAGUAGUAUACAGCACCCAAGUACUACACAGUACUACAGCAUUCCACAGUGUUCCUAUACUACACAGUACUACACAAUACUCCAGUACUACACAGUACUCCAGUACUACAGCGUGCCACACAGUACUACACAAUACUGCAUAGUACUACACAGUACUACAGCACUCCACAGUACUGUACUACACUACUACAUAGCACUAUAGUACUAUACAGUGCUGCACAGUAAUCUAGUACUACACGGCCCUGCAUAGUUCUACACAGUACUGUAGUGCUACACACUACCAAAUAGCCCUACACAGUUCUACACAGUACUCUAGUACUACAGGGUACGACACAGUAAUCCAUGGUACUACACAGUGUUUCACAGUACCACACAGUACUUCACAGUACUGCAUAGUUCUCCAGUACUAUAGCAUGCCACACAGUACUACACAAUACUGCAUAGUACUACACAGUACUAUGCCAUUCCACAGUACUCCUAUACUCCACAGUGCUGCACAGCACUACAUAGUACUACAUGGUUUUAUAUACUGCUCCUGUACUACACAGUACUCCAGUACUACACAGAACUAAGCAGCUACAUGGUAUUACACAGUACUCCACAGAUUCUCCUCCCAUUGACAUCCAAGCAGCAACACCCAGCAACUUCUGUUACACCCCACCACAGUCGGCCGGCCUGCCAUUGGGCUGAACACUGUCCCCACCACCACCUAGCUGUCUUUGGAACCUCUACCCACCUCCACCCCUGUCCUCACUUCACAAAAACCUCACUCCCAGGAGUCCCCAGGGGCAGGGGGAGGAGCACCCUCAUUACCCUGGAGCUGCAAGUGCAAAGUGGCUUCUGGACUCUCCCAUGCUGCCCCUAGGCCUCUGACCAGUGGGGUCACAGGAAGCCUGAGUGGAGAAUGGACUGGACCUCACUCUGACCAAACACAAGAGCGCCCGACAGCCCUGCGCCUGACAGCCUGUGAGCAGGGCCAUGGGAUUUUAACAACUUUGGAAGAAAAUUCAAAGGCCUGAAUUCUGUUCCUAACUAUGCCACCUUCUAUCUACAAGAGAUGCUUAGAUGUGCUUAGCCUCUUGUCCCUCACUGGGAGACUGGGCCAAUUCUGGCUCCUAACAUAUAAUUGCAAGGAUUAAUUCUCACAUAAAGUGGAAAAUUCAACAGCACUGGGCGUCUAACUGGUAUUAGGCACCAGCACCGUCAUCACCAGCACCGUUCACACCACCGUGGCUGACAUCCUCCCUGCUACACAGCAAAUUGCCUGUCCUCAAAUACAGUGCUUUCUCCCAAAGGCUCCUCCAGCCUUCAAUGGAGCUGAAUGGAGGACAGUGCGUGUGAGGCUCUCUGGUUUUGGUGGCCACCUAAGCUAUGUCUCCCAGGGAGAGCCUGAGGCUGUGUCCUGUGAGAGUGAGAGCCCUGGAAACAGCCUGGUUGUGGCAAUUAAAGUUAAACAGACGUGCAAACCUGAGCCUUACCCAACAGGAGUGAUGGACUUAUAAGAAGGAGCCUUGCCAGCCGCAGAGAAGGAUCAGAGGUUAAGAGUAUCGACUGCUCUUCCAGAGGUCCUGAGUUCAAUUCCCAGCAACCACAUGGUGGCCAACACCAUCUGUAGUGGGAUCUGGCGCCCUCUUCUGGUGUGUCUGAAGACAGCUACAGUGUUCUCAUAUACAUAAAAUGAAGGAGGAGGAGGAGACUCUCUCCACACUCAGGGUAAAGGUGAUCAUGACUAUCUACACUCCAGGGAAGAUUGUGCGUCAGAAACUGACCCCGCACAGGAACCUGAAUCACUGUGAGCUGGUGAGCUGUCCCACCUCUAUAAGGUUCUAUUGUAGAAGCCACAGCCAAUUGUUCGGAGGCAUUUUCUCAAUUGUGGUUCCCCUGCUCAGAUAACUCUAGCUUGUGUCAAGUUGGCAAAAAA
rnacentral:lncRNA from 1 species